GCAAUUCUUGGGAAGAUAGAAGUAUUGCCACUACAAGCUUCAAAUCCCGACAGUUCUAGGUUACUGAAGCCCACAGAUGACUCUUCUGCAUGAUCAAAAUGUGUGAUGCUUCAGUAAAUGCAGAAAUUCCUCCAGUUGCCAUAAGACACUGUAUAAAUGUAAUGCUGCCUUCAAGCUCACCGACAGCAAUCAUAAUUACUGGAGUCGUCGAAAAUUUCCAUGCGCCUCAAAGAAGUGACGUCACAGAGCCAGAGACAAUAACGACGUUAACAAGGCCAUCGUUUAAUAAAAUAAUGCAAUAAUGUAUAUUUUAUAAAAUUACGCUAUUUACUACAUUGUUUACUGUAACGUGUGUAAUCCAAUCCCUACUCGUUGUCAUACUAGUAGGCUAUAGAUUAUUUGCCUAUAUUACUAUAAACCUAUCGCAUCUCAGCGCACAAUGUGUUUUGUCAUGCUUUUUGAAAACAACUUCUGUCCAGGAUAUCACGUCUCUCUUGAUAAACAUAAUAAAAGAAGAGCGACCAGAGAAAACUACUUUUGUUGACUGUGAAUGUUGUUAUUUCCGGACAAUGCACUUCAAUGAGCGGCAGGUCUUCUGUUAUGCGGUUAACGUAAACACUGACUGUUUUCAUGCACUGUUUCCAGGUGACAGCUUCUCUGAAAUAGACGAUUAUGGUUUGUGUCUAUGUAUGCUAUAUGUGAGCAUCUAAAUGUGCAACAUUUUUUGUGACGGAAUCUAACAGUUUUUUUUUUUAUGUGUUUGUCGGUAGUCAGCUCACCAGACAGUAAGACAAUGGCGCGAACUGCAAAUUUAUUAAAUAAGAUUUUACAAUGAGGGGAGACGCUCCCAGUGGGCACACUCGAGCAAGCACGACCACGCACCCUUCACGUGAAAACAGGAAGUUACUCCCGCCCAGUUGGCGGGUGGGGCUUGUACAACAGAUGCCACCCCCAGCUCUGUUCGCCGGUAUAAGCGAGUUCCUCUGGAGUCUGUCAGGCAUUCAUUUAAACUGAGAAGUUUCUCGAUUCCAUAAGGCGGUUUUCUUCUCUCCAUAUUGACUCACUUUGUCGCAAUUAUCAUUUUUCUUUAGUCGCGUUAUUUAAAAAAAAUUUUAAGGGCAGAUUUUUUGAACGGGUUACAUUUCAUAAUCCGUUUAAGUUUUUCUUUAUCCCGCCCGCGCUGUCUUAACGUCUGUGUGCGCGCGCUAAUUAGCUUAACGGCUAGUGAGCACUACUCUACGGGACUGAUAACUGCAGUGUGUGGUAAGUUUUAUAUUUAACAUUUUAUACCUUUUUAAUGAAAAGCUCAGUCGUUCAUUUUACGAAUUUUGUAAUUAAGGCGUACGUCAAAGUGCGCGCUGAUGCUAACCCCAGCC
ensembl:lncRNA